rnacentral:rRNA from 1 species
GACAGAGGAGCCAAGCGUUGUCCGGAUUGACUGGGCGUAAAGAGCGCGCAGGCGGUCGAUCAAGUCGCGUGUGAAAGCCCCCGGCUCAACUGGGGAGGGUCACGCGAUACUGAUCGACUCGAAGGCAGGAGAGGGUAGUGGAAUUCCCGGUGUAGUGGUGAAAUUCGUAGAUAUCGGGAGGAACACCAGUGGCGAAGGCGGCGAUCUGGGUGGAUACUGACGCUGAGGUGCGAAAGCGUGGGGAGCAAACAGG